AGAGAAAGAAAGAAGGGGAAGGAGGAAGGGAGGGAGGACAGGAGGGAGGGAGGGAGAAUAUGCUGACUCUGUCUGGCUACCUACUCCCCCAUGGUGUUUUUCAGCCUUAGCUCCUUUAUUUGCCAAUGGGAAUAUAAGAGUAUACACCUUGCAUAAGGACUGGGGUGAAUCAUGUAUUCAGGAGCCUGCCACAGACGGUAACCAGUGAUGGGCAGCUAAUGUGGCUUUUAUUCUCCUCUCUCUCCUUCCCUCCCCUUUCCAUUUCUCAGUCAGACUUAGAUGCUUUAACCUGGUGCUCACCUAGUCCUCACAGCUAUGCUGUGAGGUCCUGUCCUUUCUAUGCUGGCUAGAGAGGAGAGUGAACUCACAGGAAGCAGGGGGUUUGCCCACAUUCUCCCUAUGGGGUGGCCCGAAUGAACCAGGGAGCUGAUUCAACCCACAGUGUUCAUCGCAUCAUGUCACGAUGCUUGGAAACACUUGGCAGGCGGUCCUCUUGAUGCUCGAGGAAAAAAAGAGUGUUUGCUCAUUCCUGGGCUAGUUCAGCACAGCAGGUUGAGGCCAGGUGCUUGUGGGGCAAGCUGGGGACGGCUCCAAACAUGAUGUCACAUGGUCACAGAGAAAGCUGGGAACAGAUCACAUGCCAUGGAGUAGCAACAGAUAGACAGUCACUAUAUCACCAUCAGCAACGGAACCUUGUUAUGGUGCGUGCAUGCGUGCACAUGUGUGUGUAUGCAUACAUGUACACACAUGCACGAGUGUGCACCUGGACAUGUAAAGAUAGCUAGCCAUCUCUGGAUCAAUGUGCAAGUUCCCAGAAUAGAACGCAAGGAUGAGGACUGGGGGGAAGUUUUCCCAUUUUUGCUGGUGACAAUUUAACAGAGACAGCUCAGGAACACUCAGCGAAGUUAGUGAGUUACUCCUGAAUUCAGCGGUACCGUGACAGAGGAGGGGUUGGGACAUGGCUCGAAGAAUCUCCAGGCCUCCUGCAGCAGUGGAAGCCUGUGCACGAGUCACUUUGCGGCCCUUGCUAUCUGUGUCAGGCCAGCCUGGUGGGCACCAUAAAAGGAGAAGCAGGAGGAGAGGAUACACUGAAAGAUGUCCUUUUAAGAGAGGCAGAAAUCCAAAGGCUGCCUGAGGCCUUCGCCUGGCCUUCCAUCUCCAAGGCUCAUGAAAGAAAGAAAAAGCCACGCAGUUCAAGUGUAACUACAGACACAUCCAAAACCAAAGCCUUGUUUCUUUGUAAGACAAGCCAGUUUGGAUCAAAUAUUCCUAUUUCCAUGAAAACACAAGGCAAAGAGAUGGGAUGUAAACCAGGCAUCUUAAACUGUGAGUCCUAUGGGAAAUGUCAGAGAGAAGGAUCAGAAUGGAAGAACCUGGCAACAUUGGAAAUAACUCUAAUAUACACAAAAGUAUCUCCUUAGAGGUGAACUGGAUCUUUAAAUUCUUGUCAGUUAUCUGACACAGAUGUGGACAAACUUCGCCACCUGCUGUCGAGGUUUGGUAUUGCGAUUUGGCAAGCACCCUGAAGGUGGCGCCAGAUUCCGGCACAGGAUACGGGAAUGUUUUGUAGCAACAGAGCUCAACACUAAGAACUGCCACAUCCGUCAGGUGUCAACAGAUGCAAGCAAUCUCAGAUCUGGGGCCUCGGAUCUGCAUGCCUCCUAUGUCGCUAUGGGAUAGAAAAGCAUCUGGUUCUGAGCAGGAAGAGAUUCCAUGGGCUCAGCCUUGACUACCACUCUCCCCACCUCUUCUCAUUUGCACGGAUACUGAACGAACCUGCUACCACACGUAUCACAGCAGCCGUCACAGUUUGACUGCCCUUCCUGUCAUCUCAAGUCAACUGUAAGUCCCCAUAAGAUGGAGGCUGUGGUCUUUCCUCAUGUGCCCCUGGCACUAGGAAGACCUUAGACAUACAAUAGCUAUUUGUGAAAUAAAUGAAAAGGCAGAUGGGGAGCUGGUACGGGAGGUUGAAUCUGUGAGGGGGUGGGAAGGAAAACACAGAAAGCAGAGCAGGCAGGAGCCUCAGAAUGAAGAGCUGCACAUAAGCAAACGUCGUGUGUGUGCGGUGUGCGCACCAUAAUCCGCUGCAGGUCUGGCACGUGCUGACGCUCAAUAGACUCUAACUUUUUGUUACUGUGACCAAAGUACCAGACAGAAACAACUUAAAGGGGGUGUUUGCUUUAGCUCAGAGUUUUUGAGGGCUCAGUCCACCAUGAUGAGGGGAGAGUGGUGGAGCAGGGCAGCUCCAGCAUAACAGUCAGGAAGCAAAGGGAAAUGCUGGCCUUCAACGAGGUUCGCCUUUUUCCUCUUUGAUUUUCAGCAGGGCCUAAGCGCACGGGGAUGUACUAUAGGUGCACAGUCAGCAUGGUCUUCUAACCUUCCGCUCUGGAAAUGCCUCCACAGACACACUCAGGGAACAAGAAGAGGAGGUCCUCUCUCAACACCCGUAUUCAAGCUUGUGUUCCAAUCAGAGUAAGUAGGCAAGAAGAAUAAAAGCAUAAGGGCCGAAAAGGAAGAAAGAAAACUUUUAUUAUGGCAUGAUCCUGUAAGUAGAAUCCUAGGGAAUCCUGGGACAACAGAUAUUAAAACUCCUACUAGCCCUGCAAAACAUGUUCAGUAAGUCCAAA
rnacentral:sRNA from 1 species